CCUACGGGACGCAGCAGUAGGGAAUCUUCCACAAUGGGCGAAAGCCUGAUGGAGCAACGCCGCGUGGGUGAAGAAGGUCUUCGGAUCGUAAAACCCUGUUGUUAGAGAAGAAAGUGCGUGAGAGUAACUGUUCACGUUUCGACGGUAUCUAACCAGAAAGCCACGGCUAACUACGUGCCAGCAGCCGCGGUAAUACGUAGGUGGCAAGUGUUAUCCGGAUUUACUGGGUGUAAAGGGAGCGUAGGCGGCCUGGCAAGCCUGAUGUGAAAUACCGGGGCCCAACCCCGGGGCUGCAUUGGG
rnacentral:rRNA from 1 species